CCGAGGUGAGAUUUGAAAAAAUUUAAGUUCUGUUGGGAAAGAGGGACAGACAAAUAGAUGUUGGUUAGCAAGAGUCUUUGCUACCAUUGACCCUGUUGGCUACUCUUCCUAUAGGUUUCCUUUGAAAGGAGCCUGCAAAUAUCCUUGUGGUUGAAACUAGUUUGAGUGUUUCUCAAACCAUUACCUGUAGCUCAGCUGUCCUGACUAAGAUGAGUUAUCAUUGUAGGCUCGAACGGAAAAGCUGAGAAUGAUUUAAGGAUGGAUAGGAUUUAAAGCAAAUGGACAUUCCAGGCAAAGAGAAUUGCAAAAGAAAAUGUGUAGAGGACACAGCUGUAAGUAUACAGUAGGGUGAGGUCUUUGAAGUCCUUGAAUGCCAAGUGGAGGAGCGUGGGCUUUAUUCAGGCUGUGAGGACUGCAGGGGAUGUUUGAGCAGGGGUGCAGCUGGGCAUCUAGAGAGAUCCAUUCCAAGGCUGGGCAAAGGAAGGAGUGUGGAGAGGAGAGAGUUGGUCGACAAGAGGACCUGCUUUAUAACAAAAGUUUGAAUGAGAGAGAAAGUGUUGGAAAUGGCAAGGGAGAGACACUCUAGGAGCACUAAACAAUGGUUUGAUCUGAUGGCUGGUUAGGUGUUUGAGAAGGAGGAAUCCACGGUAUCUUUGAAGCGUUAAGCUUUGGAGGCAGGAAGAAGGAAACCAAGAACUUGCCUGGCAGAGGGGGAUGACAGCAGCAGGAUGGGGCAGAUUUGGUGUUGGGCUUGGAGAUUUUGAGACGAUGGACACCCCCAUGGCAAUGUGGGAUUGGGACAUUCAUGAUGAGUGAGAACAAGACAUGCCAGUUAGCACGCUGAGGGCGUGGGUGGAGGGAACGAGAGCUCCAAGGAAGAGCAUGUGGAGAGUGGAGUGAGGGCCCGGACCUGAGGAAACCCCCAGCACUGCCUGGUCCCAGGGGAGUGCACACAACAACAAACAUGGAGGCAGAUCAGAGGCCUUGAAGGAAGACCCAGCAAGCCUAGAGAGAGAACUGGGCAUUAGAGGGCUUUGGGAAAGAGUGGUCAGUAGUGCUCAAUCCUAGAGCUACAGAGAAGUCCAGGUUGGUGAGAGCAAACAUCUUAGGUAAAUCAAAAGAAGAGAUUCGGAAGACCGUGGACAAUCCAACUUCUUUACAAGCUGCCGGUGGGGAUAUAAAUUGGUAGAAUCCUUCAGAAGGCCCAUUAGGCAAGAUGUUUUAAAAAUCACAAAAGGGCUUUAAAAAUGUAUAAAAUUGCUGAUCCAGAAAUUCUUCUUCAAGGAACAUAACCCCAAAGGCAUUAACGAUUAAAGCUUGAGUACCUUCUCAACCCAUGACACUGUGUCAAGGAGGGCAUUGUUUUCAGGCCUUUAUAUUUAAUAACUAAUUUAAUGAUCAGGACAACCCCGUAAAGUAAGUAGUAUUCAUACUUUUCGUGGGCGAAUCGUCAUUUUACAAACAAAGGAGGCCAAGAGAGGUUACGUGAUUUGAGCUAAGGGGUCGAGAUCCGGGGUGAACAGCUGCAAGGCCCUUGAUCUUCACCACCAGGCCAUCCUACUUCUUGAGAAGAUGAGGAAUGAGCACUGCACUGCACCCCAAGCGUGUUCCGCUUAGUAUUAUAACAGGAAACACUGACUGCUUAACAGCUUGAGGUUGGCUAAAUAAAGUCUGACUUCCAAACGAGAGCACGACGCUAUAUAGAUGUGAAAAAUCAUGUUGUAAAAGAACACUCAGUGACAUGGGGAAAAGGUUGAUGAUACAUUUUUAAGUGAGAAAAGCUGUUUUCAAAACAGUAUGAUCUCAAAGUUGAAGAAAGGAAGAUGUUUGUUAUCACUCACAUGUGUGUACGUGACAGACGGAUCUGGCCUGUGCCCCCACCAGGUGCCUUCCUUCACCCACCCUGCCCGGCCCAAGAGCCCGGACCCACGCCCCAGUCACUGGGCAGGGUCAUCCUCAUGCCUCUGGAUUGGAGCGCUGUGUAUUUUAACAAAGUCCUCCUUUGGCUCCAAAAGACAGGAUUCGAAGGCCCAGAAAUCUGGAGGAGGGGAGGUUCAGGCCUGUCGAGGAGUCCUAUUUCUCUCUGUUCCAGCCUCUGGGUACCUCAUGGUUACUCACACCACAGCCCUUCUGGAGCCUGGGGGAGAAGGCAGAGGCAAGGGAUCAGCGCACAGCCAGGCUCAAAGAUCCAGACCACAAAAAAGAUGAAGGAACCUUGUUGAUGAAGUCCUCCACCCUGGGAAAAAGAAGAUAAAAAAAAGAGAGAAAGGAAGAAAAGAACAGAGAGAGAGUGAAGGAACAAUCCUCGACAAAUAUUUUCU